rnacentral:rRNA from 1 species
UACGGAGGGUGCAAGCGUUAUCCGGAUUUACUGGGUUUAAAGGGUGUGUAGGCGGGCUGUUAAGUCAGUGGUGAAAUCUCCGGGCUCAACCCGGAAACUGCCAUUGAUACUAAUGGUCUUGAAUUUUGUUGAGGUAGGCGGAAUAAGUCAUGUAGCGGUGAAAUGCAUAGAUAUGACUUAGAACACCAAUUGCGAAGGCAGCUUGCUAAACAAAUAUUGACGCUGAGGCACGAAAGCGUGGUGAUCAAACAGG